rnacentral:rRNA from 1 species
AACGAACGCUGGCGGCAUGCCUAACACAUGCAAGUCGAACGAGAUCUUCGGGUCUAGUGGCGCACGGGUGCGUAACGCGUGGGAAUCUGCCCUUUGGUUCGGAAUAACAGUUGGAAACGACUGCUAAUACCGGAUGAUGACGAAAGUCCAAAGAUUUAUCGCCAGAGGAUGAGCCCGCGUAGGAUUAGCUAGUUGGUGUGGUAAAGGCGCACCAAGGCGACGAUCCUUAGCUGGUCUGAGACGAUGAUCAGCCACACUGGGACUGAGACACGGCCCAGACUCCUACGUGAGGCAGCAGUGGGUAAUAUUGGACAAUGGGCGAAAGCCUGAUCCAGCAAUGCCGCGUGAGUGAUGAAGGCCUUAGGGUUGUAAAGCUCUCUUACCCGGGAUGAUAAUGACAGUACCGGGAGAAUAAGCUCCGGCUAACUCCGUGCCAGCCGCCGCAGUAA